CUGGAUGGUCAUCACCAAAAAGCCAGUGCAAUGCUUCAUGAUUUACUGUAAUAUCAUCAGAACACAGCAAAAAUACAUCAAAUUAAACACCUACGAAAAAAAGCCAGACUAAUGAAGUUGGAGAGCAUUCAGACUCCUCUGAAGUUCAUUCCUGAGACCUGUUAGUCUCCAAGACAGAAAGCAAGCAGGAGGGAGAAAGUGGCUAAGACAAGUCUGAGGAAGGAGAAAUCAUAACUAAGAAGAAAAAAAGGAGGAUAAUAUUUUCAAGAUGGAAAAGUUAACAGCUUUCAAAAGAGACAGUGCUGUUCUCAGCCUUGUCCAAAGCUCUGAACAAAGUCAGCAACCAGUUAUGAGGAUGCAGCCGCAGUUCCUGUUUCGCUGGCACCAGGGGUAUGAGUCAGAAGUGGCCACACUGAGACUGUUAUAAGAGCACUGGCCGGUAGGAAUGACAUCUGAAGCACAACAGGAGAGGUCCAAGGACUACUCCCAGAGCCAAGAAAAUCUCCCACCUCCCCAUGCCGUAUGCUACUGAGAUAGCAGUUUGUAUCAUCGGCCAAAGGAUAACACAUUUAAAUGUAUGCAAGGAGCCUUAUAAGGGCAUUAACACUUGCCUCCAGGAUGGACGUCACGAUGGCGAGCCAAGGAAGAGGCGCCAAUAAUAGAUUCCUUGUGUUUGUACGUGC